rnacentral:lncRNA from 1 species
UGAAGAAAAAGUUAUUAGUCUUUUCAAAAGAGGCUUCAGUUUACCUGUCUGAUUUUCCUUUAAGCCAUUGUAAGCAGUUAAUUGUUGGGGUAAUGUCCUUCCAUGGGAAUAGAAUACCAGCCUCAAAAACAUCACUUUUGCAAACUGUGUUCUGCAUAGGAAUUGGUUUCUUUGUGGCCAUGAAAUACAGUCAUGUUACAGCCUGCACACAGAAAGACAUUGCUUACAAAUUAUGAGAAGAUCUCAAACUGAAUGAGUGGUAAGACUAUUUCCUGAGAGGAGCAUUCUGAUCAAACCAGAAUAUGUCUAAAAACUUCAGCAUGCAGGCCUGGCUAGUUGGCAGACUAUGCCAAUCCUCAGUCAGCAAACAACGAAGGGAAAAAGAAGGGACAGCACUUCUUUCCAUGGUAGGUGAACCAUGUAUUUCACUCUGCCCCAGAGCCUGCUUGAAGCUAAGUUUCUGAUGAGUCUUAAAGCCAAAGGGACUGCUGCGGCCUCCUGUCAUGUUAGAAAGAAUGCUUUGAUGUGUUGUGGAAAAAAGUUUGCAGCAAGAUUUGUGUUUCUACAGUAAGUACACACAAAAGCUGUAGCUUUUCAGAUGGAAUUCUAGGUCAGAGUUGAAGAACUGCCAAGAGAUUUUGCAUGCAGAAAGAUGUUGUUAGAACAGAGUGCAAAUGGCUCAACUUGUUGAAACAAGUCAAAAC